rnacentral:rRNA from 1 species
GACGAACGCUGGCGGCGUGCUUAACACAUGCAAGUCGAACGGAAAGGCCCUGCUUUUGUGGGGUGCUCGAGUGGCGAACGGGUGAGUAACACGUGAGUAACCUGCCCUUGACUUUGGGAUAACUUCAGGAAACUGGGGCUAAUACCGGAUAGGAGCUCCUGCUGCAUGGUGGGGGUUGGAAAGUUUCGGCGGUUGGGGAUGGACUCGCGGCUUAUCAGCUUGUUGGUGGGGUAGUGGCUUACCAAGGCUUUGACGGGUAGCCGGCCUGAGAGGGUGACCGGCCACAUUGGGACUGAGAUACGGCCCAGACUCCUACGGGAGGCAGCAGUGGGGAAUAUUGCACAAUGGGCGGAAGCCUGACGCAGCAACGCCGCGUGCGGGAUGACGGCCUUCGGGUUGUAAACCGCUUUCGCCUGCGACGAAGCGUGAGUGACGGUAAUGGGUAAAGAAGCACCGGCUAACUACGUG